CAGUAGCCGCGGUAAUACGGAGGGUGCAAGCGUUAAUCGGAAUUACUGGGCGUAAAGCGCACGCAGGCGGUUUGUUAAGUCAGAUGUGAAAUCCCCGAGCUUAACUUGGGAACUGCAUUUGAAACUGGCAAGCUAGAGUCUUGUAGAGGGGGGUAGAAUUCCAGGUGUAGCAGUGAAAUGCGUAGAUAUGUGGAGGAAUACCGAUGGCGAAGGCAGCCCCCUGGGAUAACACUGACGCUCAUGCACGGAAGCGUGGGGAGCAAACAGGAUUAGAUACCCGGGUAGUCCCUGUCUCUUAUAC
rnacentral:rRNA from 1 species